AGUGAACGCUGGCGGUAGGCCUGACACAUGCAAGUCGAACGGCAGCACAGUAAGAGCUUGCUCUUACGGGUGGCGAGUGGCGGACGGGUGCGGAAUACAUCGGAAUCUACUUUUUCGUGGGGGAUAACGUAGGGACACUUACGCUAAUACCGCAUACGACCUACGGGUGAAAGCAGGGGAUCUUCGGACCUUGCGCGAUUGAAUGAGGCGAUGUCGGAUUAGCUAGUUGGCGGGGUAAAGGCCCACCAAGGCGACGAUCCGUAGCUGGUCUGAGAGGAUGAUCAGCCACACUGGAACUGAGACACGGUCCAGACUCCUACGGGAGGCAGCAGUGGGGAAUAUUGGACAAUGGGCGCAAGCCUGAUCCAGCCAUACCGCGUGGGUGAAGAAGGCCUUCGGGUUGUAAAGCCCUUUUGUUGGGAAAGAAAAGCAGCAGGUUAAUACCCCGCUGUUCUGACGGUACCCAAAGAAUAAGCACCGGCUAACUUCGUG
rnacentral:rRNA from 1 species